rnacentral:rRNA from 1 species
UACAGAGGUCUCAAGCGUUGUUUGGAUUCAUUGGGCGUAAAGGGUGUGUAGGUGGCGCCGUAAGUCGGGUGUGAAAUUUCGGAGCUUAACUCCGAAACUGCAUUCGAUACUGCGGUGCUUGAGGACUGGAGAGGAGACUGGAAUUCAUGGUGUAGCAGUGAAAUGCGUAGAGAUCAUGAGGAAGACCAGUGGCGAAGGCGGGUCUCUGGGCCGAUACUGACGCUGAGGAGCGAAAGCGUGGGGAGCAAACAGG